rnacentral:hammerhead_ribozyme from 1 species
GCCUUGUUGAAGAGUCCCAUACUAGGACGAAACGGCUGUCCAGUGU